GUGGGGAAUCUUGCGCAAUGGGCGAAAGCCUGACGCAGCAACGCCGCGUGCGGGAUGACGGCCUUCAAGGUUGUAAACCGCUUUCAGCAGGGACGAAAAUGACGGUACCUGCAGAAGAAGCCCCGGCUAACUACGUGCCAGCAGCCGCGGUAAUACGUAGGGGGCAAGCGUUGUCCGGAUUCAUUGGGCGUAAAGAGCUCGUAGGCGGUUCAGUAAGUCGGGUGUGAAAGCUCCGAGCUCAACUCGGAGAGGCCACCCGAUACUGCUGUGACUUGAGUACAGUAGGGGAGCGUGGAAUUCCUGGUGUAGCGGUGAAAUGCGCAGAUAUCAGGAGGAACACCAGCGGCGAAGGCGGCGCUCUGGGCUGUAACUGACGCUGAGGAGCGAAAGUGUGGGUAGCAAACAGGAUUAGAAACCCCUGUAGUCC
rnacentral:rRNA from 1 species